rnacentral:tRNA from 1 species
CGGGACGUGGCGCAGUCUGGUAGCGCACUUGCAUGGGGUGCAAGGGGUCGGAGGUUCGAAUCCUCUCGUCCCGA